GCGCUUAUGGCAGAAAGGAUUAUGCAUCGGACUUCUAUUCCGACUCAUGUGGGUUCGAAUCCUACUAGGCGCGCCA
rnacentral:tRNA from 1 species